GCCAGCAUGUCCUCGGGAUGAUGGGGACACUGUUGGGACGCCUCUGCUAAAGAGGAGGAAGGAAUGGGCAACGGUAGGUCAGCAUGCCCCGAAUUAUCCGGGCUACACGCGGGCUACAAUGGUCAGGACAAUGGGUAUCGACACCGAGAGGUGGAGGCAAUCUCCUAAACCUGUCCUUAGUUCGGAUUGUGGGCUGCAACUCGCCCACAUGAAGCUGGAAUCCGUAGUAACCGCGUUUCAAAAUAGCGCGGUGAAUAUGUCCCUGCUCCUU
rnacentral:rRNA from 1 species